ACCUGCUAUUUAUUUUAGAUGCUUCUCAGUUACCUGGGUGCAGAAAUCUUACUCAUUUGUGGGGCCUGGAGGGCAGUCUUAAAUAUAUUCUUUGGUUGCAAGCAACAAAGACACCUUCUGUUUAACAUAAACUCAAAGGACUGAUUGGAAGUAAUAAAUGAGAGUAAGUGUUAAAGACCAGCCUGGUGCAAGACAGGAUCUAGGUCAGGUCCAGAAGCCACUGCAGAAGGAGUUUGUAGAUGUUCUCUGUAGGAGGCUGGCAUUAAUGUAUCUCAGGUUCAACAAGUUUCCACUGGGGAGCUCUAACAGGAAGUCAGGGGUGGCUAUCUUUGUGAACCAGGCAGAUGCCUAAACUUCUAUUGACUAUAAACAAGAAAAGCCAAAUUAAAUUGUAAGCAGAUGUGUAGAAGAAUGUAUAUUCACUCUGGACACUCACAGUGCCCCUUGGAAGACCUUAAAAAGUCCCUUCUCUUGGACACUGUAUUUCCUCAACCACAAUUUGAUAUUUACCUCAGCUUUUGCAACAGUCCUAUGAAGCCUGACUCAGUUUUCUGACCAUUGAUUUUGGUUGGGUAUAACUGUUAUAGCUGGCCUGGUUUUCACUCUACACAGGUGCUGGGGGUCUAUUCCUGGAUACCUCUGAAGUUCACUCCUUGUUUCUGCUCUGGCUAGGUCCCUACCCAUUUUCGACUUGCCUGAAGACGAGCUUAUUCAGAUAUUGUCUUUUGGUGUUUUUAAUAAUUAUUACUAAGCCUCCAUAUAAUUUCUCCCAUCGGCUACCUUUUUCUCUAUUCUUCUCAGGCUUAUCACUGAAAAGCUCUCAAAAUGAUUUCUGUCCACAGUUAGUACAUCCUCUUUAUUUUCCUAGUCCCAUAACAUUUAUUUAAGUUCAUCAAGUCUGCAGUGCUUCAGCCAUACUAAAUUUUCUCUCUUUUUCCCUUAAUACUUGCUAAUAAUUCAAUCUACCCCCUGAGGUUUGUAGCCAUGGGGUCAAACAAAGCUAAUACAGUGUUA
rnacentral:lncRNA from 1 species